GUGCUCGCUUCGGCAGCACAUAUACCAAAAUUGGAACGAUACAGAGAAGAUUAGCACGGCCCCUGCGCAAGGAUAAUGACAAAUCAUAAGACUAGUAGCCAGGAAAA